AAAUUUAAAGAAAUAAAUAAUAAAAAAAAAAGCAAGGGACAUAACCUAACAACACGAUGAUAGUACCCCACUGGGGGUAGCCACCGACAUGUUAUAUUAGUAUACCGCUAUAAUAUUUUACCAAAUAUCCUACUGGACAAAUUGUAAAAAUUUAAAUAAAUAAAUAAUUAAAAAAAACAAAAA